UUCCUGUUCAGCUGCUGCUCUUUCUGUAAGGCUUUGCAAGCCCCACUGCUCCUUCUGACUCUCAGGUUGUGGUCCCUGCUCUGGAUGAUGGAGAGUCUCUGACGGGUUUUUGGCAGCCAUGAUCAAGCCUCUGCUUUACAGCAAUUCCCUUGAUGAUAAUGAGGAAGCGAGUCUGUAGGAGUGUUGUGGAGGCAUAGGAGUCCUUUAGAGGCCACUGCAAUAAUCCAGGCAAAAGGUGUCAAGGGCCUGGAAUUAUGCCAUGGAGGAGGGUAUGAGAUAGAGGAAAAUAAACCGAGAAGAGAGCGAUUUGCCAGGUCGCACAGCUAGUGGUGGAAGAACUGCCAGUAGCAUCUAUAGCUUCUGGCCUUCAAGCCGGUCCUCUUUCCACCACUUCAGUUACCUCUGGCUGGACUAAAAAGUCUUAUUUCAAAAGCAUCUGCCUUUCCACCUGUGGGUCACGAAGUCAUGGCUGCACACCAUACAUCAUCAUCCUCUCUCCUUGCAACUGCAUUAGCUGACAGCUUGGAAACACGGCGCCGUGAAGAUGCCAGAAGGGCCG